AGGACUCUCUGCCAGGGCAUGAGACAGCUCAGGGAGUGGGGGUGGCUGGGUCCCCUGCAGUGGCUGCCUCCAAGGGCCACUAGACGGAGAUGCCGUUCUAGCCCCAGGAGUUGGAGCCUGGCUCUGGGCAAUCUGCUAAUGCCUCACAUGCUGUUGGUUUUAGGUCUUCGGAAAGUUCUUCUGGGAAGGGCAGAGAAGACUCUUCCUCCGGACGGCAGUGCUGGCCAUCCACAACCCCCUGCUCCGUGUCAGCCAAUCAGGACUGGUCCUGGCCUACUCCCUCCUGGGGGAAGCCCAAGAGCUGAUGUGGGACAAGGGUUGAGCAUCUAUGAGGCCGAAGACCUGUGGUGCUGGGACUGGCACCAGGACAGCAGGCUCCUGGGCUACAGGAACACUGCUAGGGUGGGAGAGGUCUUCGGAAAGUUCUUCUGGGAAGGGCAGAGAAGGCUCUUCCUCCGGACGGCAGUGCUGGCCAUCCACAACCCCCUGCUCCGUGUCAGCCAAUCAGGGCUGGUCCUGGCCUUCUCCCUUCUGGGGGAAGCCCAAGAGCUGAUGGGGGACAAGGUAAGCAGCUGCAUUAGACUCAGGAGAUUGGGGCGGGGCCCUGUCACGGA